rnacentral:rRNA from 1 species
ACAGCAGCAGCCGCGGUAAUCCGUAGGUGGCAAGCGUUGUCCGGAAUUAUUGGGCGUAAAGGGCUCGCAGGCGGUUUCUUAAGUCUGAUGUGAAAGCCCCCGGCUCAACCGGGGAGGGUCAUUGGAAACUGGGAAACUUGAGUGCAGAAGAGGAGAGUGGAAUUCCACGUGUAGCGGUGAAAUGCGUAGAGAUGUGGAGGAACACCAAUGGCGAAGGCGACUCCCUGGUCUGUAACUGACGCUGAGGAGCGAAAGCGUGGGGAGCGAACAGGAUUAGAUACCCGAGUAGUCCCUGUCUCUUAUAC